AGCGAACGCUGGCGGCAGGCCUAACACAUGCAAGUCGAACGAAGUCUUCGGACUUAGUGGCGGACGGGUGAGUAACACGUGGGAACGUACCUUUUGGUUCGGAACAACUCAGGGAAACUUGAGCUAAUACCGGAUGAGCCCUUAGGGGGAAAGAUUAUCGCCGAAAGAGCGGCCCGCGUUAGAUUAGCUAGUUGGUGAGGUAAAGGCUCACCAAGGCUACGAUCUAUAGCUGGUCUGAGAGGAUGAUCAGCCACACUGGGACUGAGACACGGCCCAGACUCCUACGGGAGGCAGCAGUGGGGAAUCUUGCGCAAUGGGCGAAAGCCUGACGCAGCCAUGCCGCGUGAAUGAUGAAGGUCUUAGGAUUGUAAAAUUCUUUUACCAGGGACGAUAAUGACGGUACCUGGAGAAAAAGCCCCGGCUAACUUCGUGCCAGCCGCCGCGGUAAUAC
rnacentral:rRNA from 1 species